rnacentral:tRNA from 1 species
ACAUCUUUAGCUUAAUUGGUACAGCAUUUGUCUUCGAAACAAAAGAAUAUUGGUUCAACUCCGAUAAGAUGUC